AACUGCUUUUACUGCUUCUGUGUGCUCUGCACUUAGGAAGAUUAUGAAGCAGAUCCUGCUGGAAGCUAUGAUAAGGCACAUGGAAGAAAGGGAAGUGAUACAGAUAACGACCAUGGCUUCACCAGUUUACAGACGAAUUGUGGGUUAAAGUCAGACCCUUGAAUUCAGCAGAAAGUUAACUGAACUAGACAAAUGGAUAAAGCAAGAAGCGCAAAUUCCUGCCCUCAGG